rnacentral:rRNA from 1 species
AUUGAACGCUGGCGGCAGGCCUAACACAUGCAAGUCGAACGGAGUGGCGGACGGGUGAGUAAUGUCUGGGAAACUGCCAGAUGGAGGGGGAUAACUACUCGAAAGAGUGGCUAAUACCGCAUACUAUUGGAGCGGCCGAUAUCGGUUUAGCUAGUUGGGGGGGUAAAGGCUCACCAAGGCCAAGAUCCAGAGCUGGUUUGAGAGGACGACCAGCCACACUGGGACUGAGAAACGGCCCAGACUCCUACGGGAGGCAGCAGUGGGGAAUUUUGGACAAUGGGGGAAACCCUGAUCCAGCCAUCCCGCGUGUAUGAUGAAGGCCUUAGGGUUGUAAAGUACUUUUGGCAGGGAAGCGGUAUCUGCAGAAGAAGCACCGGCUAACUACGUGCCAGCAGCCGCGGUAAUAC